GAGGGGACAGCUCAGUGGUAGAGCAUGUGCUUAGCAUGCAGGAAGUUCUGGGUUCAAUCCCCAGUGCCUUCA
rnacentral:tRNA from 1 species